rnacentral:rRNA from 1 species
CCUAAUACGGCGGGCUAAUGACGGUACCGUAAGAAUAAGCACCGGCUAACUACGUGCCAGCAGCCGCGGUAAUACGUAGGGUGCGAGCGUUAAUCGGAAUUACUGGGCGUAAAGCGUGCGCAGGCGGUUAUGUAAGACAGUUGUGAAAUCCCCGGGCUCAACCUGGGAAUUGCAUCUGUGACUGCAUAGCUAGAGUACGGUAGAGGGGGAUGGAAUUCCGCGUGUAGCAGUGAAAUGCGUAGAUAUGCGGAGGAACACCGAUGGCGAAGGCAAUCCCCUGGACCUGUACUGACGCUCAUGCACGAAAGCGUGGGGAGCAAACAGGAUUAGAUACCCUGGUAGUCCACGCCCUAAACGAUGUCAACUGGUUGUUGGGUGCAUUAGUACUCAGUAACGAAGCUAACGCGUGAAGUUGACCGCCUGGGGAGUAC